rnacentral:rRNA from 1 species
AACGAACGCUGGCGGCGUGGAUAAGACAUGCAAGUCGAACGCUUAUCUUCCGGUAGCAAUAUUGGAAGGUAGGAGUGGCGCAAGGGUGCGUAACACGUGGAUCAUCUGCCUGGAAGUUCGGAAUAAUUCGGCGAAAGCCGGACUAAUGCCGGAUGUGGUUGGAAGACUAAAGCUGGGGACCGCAAGGCCUGGCGCUUCCAGAUGAGUCCNCGGCCUAUCAGCAGUUGGCGGGGUAAUGGCCCACCAAGGCUAAGACGGGUAGCUGGUCUGAGAGGACGACCAGCCUCACUGGAACUGAGACACGGUCCAGACACCUACGGGUGGCAGCAGUCGAGAAUUUUUCUCAAUGGGCGAAAGCCUGAAGGAGCGACGCCGCGUGGGGGAGUGAAGGGCUUCGGCCCGGUAAACUUUCGAAAGAAUGGGAAGAAUCAAUGACGGUACCAUUUAU